rfam:Nomascus leucogenys chromosome 10, whole genome shotgun sequence.
GCUGGGCAUGGUGAUGCACGCCUGUAAUCCUAGCUACUCGGGAGGCUGAGGCAGGAGAAUAGCUUGAACCCAGGAGGUGGAGGAUGCAGUGAGCCGGGCAUGCACCAUUGCACCGCAGCCUGGGUGACAAAGCUAGACUCUGUCUCAA